CAGGGACAUAAAUCAUCAUUGUAUAUGACUACAGAAAGUGAAAGAUAACUGAGACUCAGGCAGUUCACCUCCAGAUGAGCAGCAGAGACAUACCGGAUCAAAGUAAUCAGACAAACAAGAAGAGAUGCUAUCUAAUCACAGACAGAGGAAUCUGCUUCAAAGGGAUAACAGCGGGGACAGGAGGUAACUGAUGGGCAACAGAAAACACGGCAGAAAACUCCAACUGACUCAAAUGUUCCACGGAGUGCUUUUUCACACUGAGCACAGUAUAUGGAAAGACUAAUUUGGAACACUUGCAUUUUGAAUUUAUCAGGCUUGGGAAGCGAGGCAUGAUUGGGCACAGGGCAAAUGCAAAGAGCUCCAGUGACUGAUUUCCAACCCAUGAAACACAGCUGAUAGACAGGAACACAGUGAGAAGGCUUGAACACAGGAGACUCUCAGGAGCCAUUAAUGUCCAGCUGUACUUGGACUUGGUUGGCAAAGCAUGUAAGAGUUCCUGAACUCAAGAUGUCUGUAUUAGCAGUUUACAAUUGUAUGAUUUUUCAGUGCAUUGGUUAAUAGCCGCAUGACAUUCUGGAAGAUUUUGCUGCUAUGUUAUGUUUCAUUACCUUUAUACAUCUAUAUAUGUAAAUACAAAGAUAUUUCUCUAACUCAGAACAAAUGAAUGUCCUCAAAUUUGAAUCACUUGAGUCUUCCAACAGUAGCUGAUACAGAAUGACUUCAGUGAAGAAGCUAUUCUGUCAUACUUCUCUGAAAGGCAGCUUCCCAAAGAACUGUACUCCUAUCAGUACCUGAAGGUCAGUUCACUUUUGGAUGCAACAAUAAAAUUUGUCCAGUGCAUCACAAUGCUUUUACUGCAUAACACUAUGGAAACACUUUACUAUAUGCACUUGAAAACAUUUUAAUGAUUCUGAGAUUCCAAUUAGUUUAUGAAAUAAUUAGCAACGUCCUCUUUUCUUUAGGUUUGUUUUCCAGUCUGUCUUCACAGAAUCACAGAAUUGUCGGGGUUGGAAGGGACUUCUGGAGAUCAUCUUGUCCAACUCCUCUUCCAGUUACUCAAAUUCAUUUCUGUUAUUGGAUUUCCUUAGCAAUUCACUUUCCCAUCAAAUAGUGCUCUUACACACACCAUGAACAACAGAGGGUUAGUUAUGUUGUAUGAGGAAAGAAGCGCAUUUAUUGAACUGUGAAACAAAAAGUAUUUCAUUUACCUCUUCAGUCAUUUUAGCAUCUGUCUUUACUGAAGUCCCAUUAAUUUUCAGCCUGUGAUCCAUUUAUUUUUGCUACUCCUGCUGCUGCUUCUGAAGGGUUAUAACAUUCAGUGUUAAUGUAC
ensembl:lncRNA